rnacentral:lncRNA from 1 species
GCUUAUCGUGGAAAUACAGCCAAGAGCCAAAUGGUCUCUAUCCUCUAGUGGGAAAGACAGAUACUAAAGAUGCUAUAUAAAUAGAAUAUACAGAAUAUUAGGUGGUGUGUGUAUACAUCUAUGUACACACACACACACACACACACACACACCCUAAUAAACAGAAUAUUAGGAGGUGGAAAAGAGAGAGGACAGGAAAAGAAAAAUGAAGAGUAUCCAUGGAAAGAUGGGGUUGAUAUUUUAGACAGGGGGUCAAGGAGGGCCUUCCUAAGAAGGAGACAUUGGGGCAGAGUCCCAAGAAAGGCAAAGGAACAGCCAGGUAGAUAUUUGAGCAAAUGUUCCAGGAAGAGAAAUGCCAGGGGCCAGAUUAUAAGGCAGGGAGGACAGGGUGCCUGGAGCUCAGGAGUCAGAAGCAGGAAGUGGGUGUGAGGACAGAGAAGUGAGGGGUCUCAGAGAC